GACGAACGCUGGCGGCGUGCUUAACACAUGCAAGUCGAACGAAGAGCGAUGGAAGCUUGCUUCUAUCAAUCUUAGUGGCGAACGGGUGAGUAACGCGUAAUCAACCUGCCCUUCAGAGGGGGACAACAGUUGGAAACGACUGCUAAUACCGCAUACGAUCUAAUCUCGGCAUCGAGGAUAGAUGAAAGGUGGCCUCUACAUGUAAGCUAUCACUGAAGGAGGGGAUUGCGUCUGAUUAGCUAGUUGGAGGGGUAACGGCCCACCAAGGCGAUGAUCAGUAGCCGGUCUGAGAGGAUGAACGGCCACAUUGGGACUGAGACACGGCCCAGACUCCUACGGGAGGCAGCAGUGGGGAAUCUUCCGCAAUGGACGAAAGUCUGACGAAGCAACGCCGCGUGAGUGAUGACGGCCUUCGGGUUGUAAAGCUCGGUUAAUCGGGACGAAAGGCCUUCUUGCGAAUAGUGAGAAGGAUUGACGGUACCGGAAUAGAAAGCCACGGCUAACUACGUG
rnacentral:rRNA from 1 species